UACAGAGGUCUCAAGCGUUGUUCGGAUUCAUUGGGCGUAAAGGGUGCGUAGGCGGCGCGGUAAGUCGGGUGUGAAAUCUUGGAGCUUAACUCCGAAACUGCAUUCGAUACUGCCGUGCUUGAGGACUGGAGAGGAGACUGGAAUUUACGGUGUAGCGGUGAAAUGCGUAGAUAUCGUAAGGAAGACCAGUGGCGAAGGCGGGUCUCUGGACAGUUCCUGACGCUGAGGCACGAAGGUCAGGGGAGCAAAACGGGG
rnacentral:rRNA from 1 species